AAGCAUCCUUGCAGUUUGGUUUGGAAUCUUACAUUUUUUUGCUGUUCAGAACAAAAAGUUCCCAAUUACAAAAAGCUGCUAAAUCCUCCCUCUCUCUUUCUCUCUCUGCCUGGCUGCUUUGAAACAACAGCCUCCAGCAGAAGUUAAGAGUUAUAAUUUGGCUUAUUCAUCAGGUAGGAUCAGCCAACAGUCCCAAAUUAAAGCCAAUUAACGUUUUCACCUGGUGAGCAUCAAGGGAUGUUUUCUCACUUUGCAGACACCUCUGUUUGAUGUGGAUUCCAUCGGCUUUGGCUGCACUAGGGAACAAAGCUGGCCACUCCACUGGAAAUGCCUUUUAAAUUUCGUCACUGGCCAACUAUGCAAAACACACACACACACACACACCCCUCUUUAUCCCUCUUAAUUUAUGCCACCGAGGAUGCAAACCGCAGAGAGCUAAAAGGGGACAAGCAAACAUCCGGAAGCAAAUACGGUCCCUGAAUCUCACUCCUUUCCAGCAGGGCUGUUCUGCCUUCGGUCCUUCUUCCUCUCCACCUUGCUUCCUUUCAGUCUUGUACGCUUUUGGAUUCCCGCCUGAGCAGCGCUUACAAAGGCCGCGGGCUCAUGUUUGUGCUGAGCCAGUUGCUCGUAUCUUCUUCCAACAGGGAGGCAAACAAAACAAGGCGGCCGGCCGCAUCCAAACACAAACUGUGUCCUUGCGGCGUCACUGGGUCUGUUUCUUUGCUUGUUUCUCUAUGAAGAAUAAAUCCGGCAAGAUUAUUGCUAGUGGGAGGCACAUGGAAGGAGAAAUAGCACUACACAAGAAGCAUCAGCUGCAGAGCCCUGAUCCUGCAUGGUGGAAUGCAGGCUCCCUUAUUUCUUUCUCUGAUUUAUUUACUUGAACUAUUUUUAUCCUGCCUUUCUCCUUUAAAAAAGAACCUGAGGUGGCUUACAGAAUUAUUAACACAAUAUCAUCUCUGAUUUAUUUACUUGAACUAUUUUUACCCAGCCUAUCUCCUUUAAAAAGCUCCAGAGGUGGCUUAC
rnacentral:lncRNA from 1 species